ensembl:snoRNA Gm25200 small nucleolar RNA SNORA51
GUCCACCUCAUGCUCACCAUAGGCUAUGUUCUUAGGCUGACUGUAUAUAAGAAAGAGGCAGAGUAAACCUACCCCCGUUCACCUAAACCCAGGCCAUUAUGCCUAGACUAUAUUGUGGGAGGGGAUACAUGG